rnacentral:rRNA from 1 species
ACGGGUAGCCGGCCUGAGAGGGUGACCGGCCACAUUGGGACUGAGAUACGGCCCAGACUCCUACGGGAGGCAGCAGUGGGGAAUAUUGCACAAUGGGCGGAAGCCUGAUGCAGCAACGCCGCGUGCGGGAUGACGGCCUUCGGGUUGUAAACCGCUUUCGCCUGUGACGAAGCGUGAGUGACGGUAAUGGGUAAAGAAGCACCGGCUAACUACGUGCCAGCAGCCGCGGUGAUACGUAGGGUGCGAGCGUUGUCCGGAUUUAUUGGGCGUAAAGGGCUCGUAGGUGGUUGAUCGCGUCGGAAGUGUAAUCUUGGGGCUUAACCCUGAGCGUGCUUUCGAUACGGGUUGACUUGAGGAAGGUAGGGGAGAAUGGAAUUCCUGGUGGAGCGGUGGAAUGCGCAGAUAUCAGGAGGAACACCAGUGGCGAAGGCGGUUCUCUGGGCCUUUCCUGACGCUGAGGAGCGAAAGCGUGGGGAGCGAACAGGCUUAGAUACCCUGGUAGUCCACGCUGUAAACGGUGGGUACUAGGUGUGGGGUCCAUUCCACGGGUUCCGUGCCGUAGCUAACGCUUUAAGUACCCCGCCUGGGGAGUACGGCCGCAAGGCUAAAACUCAAAGGAAUUGACGGGGCCCCGCACAAGCGGCGGAGCAUGCGGAUUAAUUCGAUGCAACGCGUAGAACCUUACCUGGGUUUGACAUGGAUCGGGAGUGCUCAGAGAUGGGUGUGCCUCUUUUGGGGUCGGUUCACAGGUGGUGCAUGGCUGUCGUCAGCUCGUGUCGUGAGAUGUUGGGUUAAGUCCCGCAACGAGCGCAACCCUUGUUCACUGUUGCCAGCACGUUAUGGUGGGGACUCAGUGGAGACCGCCGGGGUCAACUCGGAGGAAGGUGGGGAUGACGUCAAGUCAUCAUGCCCCUUAUGUCCAGGGCUUCACGCAUGCUACAAUGGCUGGUACAGAGAGUGGCGAGCCUGUGAGGGUGAGCGAAUCUCGGAAAGCCGGUCUCAGUUCGGAUUGGGGUCUGCAACUCGACCUCAUGAAGUCGGAGUCGCUAGUAAUCGCAGAUCAGCAACGCUGCGGUGAAUACGUUCCCGGGGCUUGUACACACCGCCCGUCAAGUCAUGAAAGUUGGUAACACCCGAAGCCGGUGGCCUAACCGUUGUGGGGGAGCCGUCGAAGGUGGGACUGGUGAUUAGGACUAAGUCGUAACAAGGUAGCCGUACCGGAAG